rnacentral:tRNA from 1 species
GCCUGAGUGGCUCAGUUGGUUAAGCAUCUGACUUUGGCUCAGGUCAUGAUCUCAGGGUCCUGGGAUCAAGCCCCACAUCGGGCU